rnacentral:rRNA from 1 species
AGUGAACGCUGGCGGUAGGCCUAACACAUGCAAGUCGAACGGCAGCACAGUAAGAGCUUGCUCUUACGGGUGGCGAGUGGCGGACGGGUGAGGAAUACAUCGGAAUCUACUUUUUCGUGGGGGAUAACGUAGGGAAACUUACGCUAAUACCGCAUACGACCUACGGUUGAAAGCAGGGGUUCUUCGGACCUUGCGCGAUUGAUGGAGCCGAGGUCGGAUUAGCUAGUUGGGGGGGUAAGGGCCCACCAAGGCGACGAUCCGUAGCUGGUCUGAGAGGAUGAUCAGCCACACUGGAACUGAGACACGGUCCAGACUCCUACGGGAGGCAGCAGUGGGGAAUAUUGGACAAUGGGCGCAAGCCUGAUCCAGCCAUACCGCGUGGGUGAAGAAGGCCUUCGGGUUGUAAAGCCCUUUUGUUGGGAAAGAAAAGCAGCAGGUUAAUACCCCGCUGUUCUGACGGUACCCAAAGAAUAAGCACCGGCUAACUUCGUG